rnacentral:rRNA from 1 species
CCUACGGGGGGCUGCAGUGGGGAAUAUUGGACAAUGGGGGCAACCCUGAUCCAGCCAUGCCGCGUGUGUGAAGAAGGCCCUCGGGUUGUAAAGCACUUUCAGUGAGGAAGAACGCCUGGUGGUUAAUACCCAUCAGGAAAGACAUCACUCACAGAAGAAGCACCGGCUAACUCCGUGCCAGCAGCCGCGGUAAUACGGAGGGUGCGAGCGUUAAUCGGAAUUACUGGGCGUAAAGCGCGCGUAGGUGGCUUGAUAAGCCGGUUGUGAAAGCCCCGGGCUCAACCUGGGAACGGCAUCCGGAACUGUCAAGCUAGAGUGCAGGAGAGGAAGGUAGAAUUCCCGGUGUAGCGGUGAAAUGCGUAGAGAUCGGGAGGAAUACCAGUGGCGAAGGCGGCCUUCUGGACUGACACUGACACUGAGGUGCGAAAGCGUGGGUAGCACACAGGAUUAGAUACCCUAGUAGUC